GGAGGUUAGGAAGUGAUUGGGUUUAGGAGCCCGGCUGGCAGAAUGCUUUCUCUGUGAUCAGCUCACUGAGCUCUCUAUAUAGUGAACUUUGACACGACUGCUGCAACUUAGCACACGUUACCAUGGCGACGCGCUGCCAUAUAAGGAAGGCGAGUGUGUUUGACUGGUCAGAGCUCAGGGACCUCCCCCCGCACCUCAUUGGCUGAGCGGCACUUGUGCUACUUGGUGCCUCGCCAAGAGGGACCGCCGUGUGGAGGUCGAGCGAGGGCCGCUGGGUCCUAAAGCGAGACGUGUUCGCUCCAUGUAGAGGAAAGAGCAAGGAAAGUGUGGAAAAAAAACAAACAUGUACACUUCACUUCAUCUGUUUUCUUUUUUCAAACAUGCAAAGGAGGCAAAAAUGGUAGAACAUGGGUACAAAUAAUUGCUAUAUACGGCCAAAUUGAUAAUUGCCUAUACAAAUCUAAAUUUUAAGACGUUAUGACUGAUGGAUGUUCAAAGUUGUCAAUAGAGUUUUUAUUUAUUUUUUUCCAAAGGAGAGGCUAUGACCUCCCUCAUCACACUUGGACUGAACCUGGAUUUUUUGUGUGUGUGUGCGUGUAUGCGUGCAUGUGUGAUCAUUGCUGCAAGCUUUGUCCCCCUCAACACAGUGUCCGGCUGCCCCCUAGCGUACGAAAGUAUACUGCAGCUCAAGCUAAGCCUCAAGUCGGAGGAGUCAUUCCUGCAAACGCAGCCUGCUUCAGUCUUUUGCUCUCUUCUGCCUCGAUCUAACUCAGCAGCGAUCCUCUUCGUUUUUUGUUUUUUAAAUUAUCAUUAUUAAUAAUUUAAAUUAUACCGGACCACGUGGUGAUUAGAUGCAUUCACGGUUUCACAAAUUGGAUUUACUUGUUUUGUUAUUUUUUAUUAUUAUCCUUUUUUUUUUUUUUUGCUACUACGCCGCGCCUUUUUUAAACUACUUUAUCGCAGAUCAAAUUGUUUGCAUGACUUUGUUGGUUGUAUUUGCAGAUCGUGUACAUCUGUACAUAAACAUGGAGGGGAAAAAAAACAACCGUAUAAUUGGGUCCAAAAGGGUCCUCCAUGCAGAUAGCGGGACACUGACCCCCGAGGUCUCCCAAGUUCCCGGCCCGGUUAACCCCUCUGGAGCCGCGCAGGAGCAAAGGUUAACCUGACUAAUCAACUUGAAGAGUGGGAUUGAAUGAAGGUGAAGUCAACUGCAGCGGCCACUUAAUACAAGACCGACGCACAGCAGGAAAGAAACAGGUAAAUACCAUCAUUAGCAUUAUAAUUGGACAUUUAAUUCAACUUUUAACGAUUAUUUUUUUGUUUUGUUUUUAUAUGGUGUAUUGUUUAUACCAAAAUGUAAUUAUCAUUCAGUUGUAUCAAGUUUCAUUUGUGAAAAAUUCAAAAUGAUGCAUAUUCUAUUCAGUUGAUAUUAAUAAUAGUAUACAGUAAACAUGUGUGUUUCCGUCAAAAAGGUAGAAUUUUGCACAUUGUGGUUGUCGAUGUGCACUUCCUGAGAGGUGAAGUUCAGUUUGCCAAUUUAUUCUCCAAACAAGAAUAAAAACAUUGAGAUACAAUUAAAAUAUGUUCCCCCAUCACUAAAUCAUCUAACACACGAAUCAGUCAUAAUCAUAAUCACCUGAUACGUGUCAAUAUUAAGCAUAUUUAAGGUGUUUCUAACAUUUACACCCUCUUUUUUUGACCACUUUGACAAUGCGAUAAUAAACAUAUUUUAUCAGUCAACAACGACGCAGCGCUUGCAUUGAGACUGUGCAGGUGUGCCUAAUGUUGGUGCUCCAUAAUAGUCUCGCCUCGUGCUAACCUUUGACUUAAAUAGUCCUUGAUGAUGCUUCACACUGAUGUAGAAAGGCUUGCGCGCAACAAACACACGUGUUGUGUGUCCAUACAUAAAGAGUUGAUCCAUGCAUAUUAAGACUUGGUGUGUGUGUGUGUGUGUGCCCAGAGGGCCGCUAUCUAAAAAGGCAAUAAAUUCCAGAAAGCUCCACUGUUCCGUAUGCCAAUGAUAGAUUAUAGUGCCAAUUUGCAGGGAAAGGGAUCAAUUUGUUUCAAUGAUCACUCUUUAGGCCCACUGCCAGCCUACUCUUCAUGUGUUUGUAUAAAGCCGCUCGUUCCAAUCACCAGCUCGCCACUGAAUAAAAGUAGGCGCCACAAAGCGAGGAGGACGGCAGGUCGGCCCGCUCAAGACUGUCGUGAUGAUGACGUCUCCAGGCAACAGAGGUCACAGGUCGUAGUCUCCACUAUAGUCGCUGCGAAUUCUAUGCGAAGUGAAACCCCCCCUAAGAAGACCUGCCGGAGUGCCCUUGGGCCCGGCUGUGCAGACGGACUAGUCCUCUCUCUGUCCCCCCCCCCUCCUCGUCCCCCUGCUUUUUUGGGGAAAAAAGUUUUUUUCAUGAAAAAAGACAAGAGAGGAGAAACAAGCCCACAUGUGCCCCCAAAGGCAGACAGCAGGCAGCAGACAGUGUAUUGAAUUGCAGUAACUCGAGGUGUAGUGUGUGGAAAAAGUGUGUGCAUUUGAGGGCUCACUCCGGCUUCCCGUCGGAGUCGUUAAGGUUGCAUUUUAAUUGCUAGAUCAUUCCAUCGUGGUAAUUGUCGCUGCCACACCUUUAUUGUGUUGCAGUGUGUGUGUUUUAUUGGCUGUUCGUUAACUUAGUGAUCAUAAAACACCAACAAAUGAACUCCGUCUUUUUUCUUUACAAUAACAAUAUAUUUUUGUUCAUUUUUAGUUCUUGAUUGCCAAUACAAGAGCUCAUGUGUGAUAUUAUUGUUCUUGUAUUGUGGUGGAUAUUUUUGUAGCUAAAAAAAAGGGUUGCAACAUAUUACAAACACCUUUCAGGGCAAUCACAAUAGUAAACACACUGUUUACAUGUGAGAUAUUAAUAUUAAUGAUGCCAUUAUUUUUUAGAAUUGUUGUGUGCUGUGUCCAGCUCGUGCAUAUGAGGUGUUAAAUACUUUAUACCCUGUUUAAUACACGUUUCAUUUUUCAGAUGACUUUGCGACAUUUUUUCAAUAAAUUAUUUUAUUUAUUUGCAUAUUAUAUAUACAUUCUGUAUGGCUGUUUUUAGUGUAUAGACUGUAUAUAAAUAAAGUGUUUUUGCACCCCA